GAUGAAGAACGCAGCGAAAUGCGAUAACUAAUGUGAAUUGCAGAAUUCAGUGAAUCAUCGAGUCUUUGAACGCACAUUGCGCCCCCUGGUAUUCCGGGGGGCAUGCCUGUCCGAGCGUCAUUGCUGCCCUCAAGCACGGCUUGUGUGUUGUGCUCCGUCCCCCCGGGGACGGGCCCGAAAGGCAGCGGCGGCACCGAGUCCGGUCCUCGAGCGUAUGGGGCUUUGUCACCCGCUCUGUAGGCCCGGCCGGCGCCAGCCGACAACCCAUCAUCCUUUUCAGGUUGACCUCGGAUCAGGUAGGGAUACCCGCUGAACUUAAGCAUAUCAAUAAGCGGAGGA
rnacentral:misc_RNA from 1 species